UGAUAGUUUAGUCAGUUAAGCAUGAGACUUUUAAUCUUAGGGUUGUGAGUUUGAGCCCCACCUUGGACAA